CCCCGCCGGAGUCGCCCGGGAAGGGGGUCCGGGGAAGGCGGGAGCACGCCCGCGAGCCGAGGGCCCCUCGGCCUCACUGCAGCUGCUGGCCGCCCCGGAGCCGCGCUGCCGCACGCAUGGCCCGCCGCGGGGCCGAGUUCUGGUCCCCGCCUUUCCUCGCCUCUGGCUCCUCGGCGCUAUUGUCCAGGCCCGGGGAGCCCUGCCGCCCCAAUCGGGGCGCGCAGCGCUUCGCAGCUUCCCGCCCCGCCGCGCUAGGAACUCGGGGCGCCGGUCACUGCCCUGCUCCCGCCUCCGCCAUGAUCUCAGCCAAGCCGCUUCCCGCGCCGCCGCCGCCUCCUCAAGCUGCCGCCGCCAUGUUUUCCUUCCUUAUACCUGGCCCUGCCACCGCAGCCGGACGUUGUGCUCCUCUCGUCUGCUUCAAAUGUCCGAAGCUGACGGGCGCCAGGUCCCGCUGCAACUUCUACCACUGCGCGGAAGACUCCUAGAGCCCCCAAGCGCACGAGCGCUUCUGGCUACUGGGAGUCCCUGUCCCUCCGCCGCCGCCGCCGCCGCCUCUUCCGUCUUCCUCACCGAGCCAAAGCCGCCGCCAUCUUGGUUCGCCCCUCAAUAGUGGCGCGCGCGGGGCCACCCAGGCAGCGGCUGCAGGGGCGGCCCGUUGGCCCCACCAUUUAAAGAGGCAGGAACGAAGCUGUGAGUCUCGCAGCGGCGGAGGCCUCGGAUGGAGGUGGGAGGCGGGCCCCGGGUUGCCGAGGUGGCGGGAGCGCAGGGAGCGGAGGAGGCGGAACGCUGGUCGCGCCGGUGACGAGCCGGGUCUCCCUCGCGCUCCUCGCACGCACCGUCGUGCGAGCGCAGGGCAGGUGUGCGUCCGUCGCGCCCUGUGUUCGUCAUCAGCCCGCUCCGGAUUCGAAGGGCGUGGAUCCCGCCUCUGGCUCCUGCGGGUUGCGAGGCUUUUGCCCGCGGGGUGCUCUGGGUCUGGGGUUCUGGAGCCCGCAGUUGUCUUCACAGGUGGCUCGCGGUCCAGACGCCGAUCCCGGCGGGCAUCAGGCGGCUUGGGCCUGGGGUCCUCCGCGCCCGCCCGCCUCCGCGAGUAUCCUGUCCGAGCCAAAGCCGCCGCCAUCUUGGUUCGCCCCUCAAUAGUGGCGCGCGCGGGGCCACCCAGGCAGCGGCUGCAGGGGCGGCCCGUUGGCCCCACCAUUUAAAGAGGCAGGAACGAAGCUGUGAGUCUCGCAGCGGCGGAGGCCUCGGAUGGAGGUGGGAGGCGGGCCCCGGGUUGCCGAGGUGGCGGGAGCGCAGGGAGCGGAGGAGGCGGAACGCUGGUCGCGCCGGUGACGAGCCGGGUCUCCCUCGCGCUCCUCGCACGCACCGUCGUGCGAGCGCAGGGCGGGUGUGCGUCCGUCGCGCCCUGUGUUCGUCAUCAGCCCCGCUCCGGAUUCGAAAGGGCGUGGAUCCCGCCUCUGGCUCCUGCGGGUUGCGAGGCUUUUUGCCCGCGGGGUGCUCUGGGUCUGGGGUUCUGGAGCCCGCAGUUGUCUUCACAGGUGGCUCGCGGUCCAGACGCCGAUCCCGGCGGGCAUCAGGCGGCUUGGGCCUGGGGUCCUCCCGCGCCCGCCCGCCUCCGCGAGUAUCCUGUCCGAGCCGCCUUUGGGGCUGGACUGGGCACCCGGCGCGCAGAGGAAUCAAUCCAAGUUUGCCAGAGCACGUGGCUUCCUCUUCAGAUACCAACACUGAAAGAUUCUGGGUUGAUCUGUUAUUGGACCCCACGUCCAAGGUCAGGGGUGGCGGCUGAAAGGAGCAAACCCACGUCCAAGGAGCGGCUGUUGCGUGGCGCAGGAGGACCAAGAGGAGCUACUCCACAUUCAAGGUCAGGAGGGCUGGCUGUGAGGAGAUACCCCACGUCCAAGGUAAGAGAAACCCAAGUGAGACGGUAGGUGGUGCUAGAGGGCAUCAGAGGGCAGACACACUGAAACCAUAAUCACAGAAAACUAGCCAAUCUGAUCACACGGACCACAGCCUUGUCUAACACAAUGAAACUAAGCCAUGCCAUGUGGGGCCACCCAAGACGGACGGGUCAUGGUGGAGAGGUCUGACACAAUGUGGUCCACUGGCGAAGGGAAUGGCAAACCACUUCAGUAUUCUUGCCUUGAGAACCCUAUGAACAGUAUGAAAAGGCAAGAUGAUGGGAUACUGAAAGAAGAACUCCCCAGGUUGGUAGGUGCCCAAUAUGCUACUGGAGAUCAGUGGAGAAAUAACUCCAGAAAGAAUAAAGGGAUGGAGCCAAAGCAAAAACAAUACCCAGUUGUUGGAUGUGACUGGUGAGAGAAGCAAGGUCCAAUGCUGUAAAGAGCAAUAUUGCAUAUAG
rnacentral:lncRNA from 1 species